GACGAACGCUGGCGGCGUGCUUAACACAUGCAAGUCGAACGGAAAGGCCCUGCUUUUGUGGGGUGCUCGAGUGGCGAACGGGUGAGUAACACGUGAGUAACCUGCCCUUGACUUUGGGAUAACUUCAGGAAACUGGGCUAAAACCCGAAACGAACUCCCGCUGCUAGGCUGGGGUUGGAAAGUUUCGGCGGUUGGGGAUGGACUCGCGGCUUAUCAGCUUGUUGGUUGGGCAGUGGCUUACCAAGGCUUUGACGGGUAGCCUGCCUGAGGGGGUGACCGGCCACAUUGGGACUAAGAUACGGCGCAGACUCGUACGGGAGGCAGCAGUGGAGAAUAUUGCGCAGUGGGCGGGAGCCUGAUGCAGCAACGCCGCGUGCGGGAUGACGGCCUUCGGGUUGUGAACCGCUUUCGCCUGUGACGAAGCGUGAGUGACGGUAAUGGGUAAAGAAGCACCGGCUAACUACGUG
rnacentral:rRNA from 1 species